ACUUGGCGGCACGUAAGCAGUUGUACAAACAUUUCCGAUCUUGUUUCAAUAUUCCGCGAUAUUAAAUUAAUCCGAGCAACUAACAUAACUUUAUAAGAUUAUUAAGCCUUUGUCAGCCUGGAGGACCUGGAGAAAUUCAUUGACGAGUGUUAUAAUACCUGCGUCAUGGGGAAAACCAACACCAACACCCCCUACUCCAAGCGAACACGGCCUGAAGAAUCUCCCGGGGCUGCCUCCUCUCCAGGCAGCGGCAUGAGCGACAUCCUUGAUUCCAUUGAUAAAAAGCUCCCCAGCCUUGAUUGCAGCCUUAACCUGCUGGAGAUCCUCCAUAGAGAAUUUCAAGGCCUGCGGGAGUCUCUGGAGUUCAGCCAGCAGCAGGUGCGGGAGCUAGCAGCGGAGAACCAGGCCCUCAGAGAGACUGUGAAGAUCCCGGGCAAUGUCACCGCCCGUCUCUCCGAGGAGAACCGAUCCAUAAAGGAAACCCUCCUGGAUCUUCAGUCGAGGAGCAUGAGGGACAAUCUAGUGUUCUCUGGGAUUCCAGAGGAGGCAGGAGAAGUCCCCGAGGCCACAGUGAAGUCCUUCUUAGAGGUCCACCCUAAGCUCCCCAAGGAGGUGCAGAAGAUCUCUUUCCACAGGGUUCACCGCCUCGGAGGAAGAAGGUCCGACAACCAGCGCCCGGGUCCCAUUGUUAAGUUUGAACAAUUUAAACAAAAGGAGCUGGUGAAGGGCCGAGGACGGGAACUGAAAGGGACACAUUACAGCGUGAAUGACCAGUUCCCGGCAGAAAUCCUCCGUAGAAGGAAGAUCCUGUUCCCGCUGAGGAGGAAACAUCUUGCUGCUGGUUCGAGAGCGGUUGUGGCCGUUGAUGAGCUAUACGUCGACGGCCAGCUGUUCCGGGACCCAGAGAUCACCCCCUGGCUGUGCUGAAGACUUUCAGAUCCGCGCUGAGAACAUCUGCGCUGCCCAGAAGAAACCCGCUAAUUCCAUCACAUCAUCAAUAAUCCACACCUCCAUCUCAGGAAGUCUUUUUUCUUCACCUCAGUCCCACUGAUGUUUCUGUUGUUGUUUUGUUGUUUUUGUUUUCUCUUUCUUCUCUUGUUUUCUAUCUUUUCCUUGGNNNNNNNNNNNNNNNNNNNNNNNN
rnacentral:lncRNA from 1 species